AGAACGAACGCUGGCGGCGUGGAUAAGACAUGCAAGUCGAACGCUGAUUAGAGGUUAGCAAUAAUCUCUAGUUGGAGUGGCGCAAGGGUGCGUAACACGUGGGUAAUCUGCCAUGAAGACUGGGAUAACUCGCUGAAAGGCGAGCUAAUACCGGGUAAGACUGUUGGGAGGCAUCUCUUGACAUUGGAAGCUGGGGACUGUAACAGGCCUGGCACUUCAUGAUGAGCCCGCGGCCUAUCAGCUAGUUGGUGAGGUAACGGCUCACCAAGGCGAAGACGGGUANCUGGUCUGAGAGGACGACCAGCCACACUGGAACUGANA
rnacentral:rRNA from 1 species